rnacentral:rRNA from 1 species
CUGGCUCAGGAUGAACGCUGGCGGCGUGCCUAACACAUGCAAGUCGAGCGAGGAGAAAAGAGCUUGCUCUUGGAACCUAGCGGCGGACGGGUGAGUAACGCGUGGGUAACCUGCCCUAUACACACGGAUAACAUACCGAAAGGUAUGCUAAUACGGGAUAAAGCUAAGAUAAGGCAUCUUAUCAUAGUCAAAGCGAAAGCGGUAUAGGAUGGGCCCGCGUCCCAUUAGCUAGUUGGUGAGGUAAAAGCUCACCAAGGCGACGAUGGGUAGCCG